GACGUAGGGUGCGAGCGUUGUCCGGAUUUAUUGGGCGUAAAGAGCUCGUAGGCGGCUCGUCGCGUCGACCGUGAAAACCCGCAGCUUAACUGCGGGCUUGCGGUUGAUACGGGCGGGCUAGAGUUCGGUAGGGGAGACUGGAAUUCCUGGUGUAGCGGUGAAAUGCGCAGAUAUCAGGAGGAACACCGAUGGCGAAGGCAGGUCUCUGGGCCACGACUGACGCUGAGAAGCGAAAGCAUGGGGAGCGAACAGG
rnacentral:rRNA from 1 species